rnacentral:rRNA from 1 species
UACGAAGGGGGCUAGCGUUGUUCGGAAUUACUGGGCGUAAAGCGCGCGCAGGCGGCCUUUCAAGUCGGUGGUGAAAUCCCAAAGCUCAACUUUGGAAUUGCCAUCGAAACUGUAAGGCUUGGGUACGGGAGAGGUGAGUGGAAUUCCUAGUGUAGAGGUGAAAUUCGUAGAUAUUAGGAAGAACACCAGUGGCGAAGGCGGCUCACUGGCCCGGUACUGACGCUGAGGCGCGAAAGCGUGGGGAGCAAACAGG